rnacentral:rRNA from 1 species
CGAAGCGUGCGAUUGGAUUGCACGUCUAAGCAGUAAGGCUGAGUAUUAGGCAAAUCCGGUACUCGUUAAGGCUGAGCUGUGAUGGGGAGAAGACAUUGUGUCUUCGAGUCGUUGAUUUCACACUGCCGAGAAAAGCCUCUAGAUAGAAAAUAGGUGCCCGUACCGCAAACCGACACAGGUAGUCAAGAUGAGAAUUCUAAGGUGAGCGAGCGAACUCUCGUUAAGGAACUCGGCAAAAUGACCCCGUAACUUCGGGAGAAGGGGUGCUCUUUAGGGUUAACGCCCAGAAGAGCCGCAGUGAAUAGGCCCAAGCGACUGUUUAUCAAAAACACAGGUCUCUGCUAAACCGUAAGGUGAUGUAUAGGGGCUGACGCCUGCCCGGUGCUGGAAGGUUAAGAGGAGUGGUUAGCUUCUGCGAAGCUACGAAUCGAAGCCCCAGUAAACGGCGGCCGUAACUAUAACGGUCCUAAGGUAGCGAAAUUCCUUGUCGGGUAAGUUCCGACCCGCACGAAAGGCGUAACGAUUUGGGCACUGUCUCAACGAGAGACUCGGUGAAAUCAUAGUACCUGUGAAGAUGCAGGUUACCCGCGACAGGACGGAAAGACCCCGUGGAGCUUUACUGUAGCCUGAUAUUGAAAUUCGGCACAGCUUGUACAGG